rnacentral:tRNA from 1 species
GGAGGGUUCGCCUAGUGGCCGAUGGCGCUGGUCUUGAAAACCGGUAAGGGCGCAAGCUCUUCGUGGGUUCGAAUCCCACACCCUCCG